CCAGGGCUACACACAGCUACAAUGGUCGGUACAAAGGGUUGCCAAGCCGCGAGGUGGAGCUAAUCCCAUAAAACCGAUCGUAGUCCGGAUCGCAGUCUGCAACUCGACUGCGUGAAGUCGGAAUCGCUAGUAAUCGUGAAUCAGAAUGUCACGGUGAAUACGUUCCCGGGCCUU
rnacentral:rRNA from 1 species